AUUGAACGCUGGCGGCAGGCCUAACACAUGCAAGUCGAGCGGAUGACGGGAGCUUGCUCCUUGAUUCAGCGGCGGGCGGGUGAGUAAUGCCUAGGAAUCUGCCUGGUAGUGGGGGACAACGUUUCGAAAGGAACGCUAAUACCGCAUACGUCCUACGGGAGAAAGCAGGGGACCUUCGGGCCUUGCGCUAUCAGAUGAGCCUAGGUCGGAUUAGCUUGUUGGUGAGGUAAUGGCUCACCAAGGCGACGAUCCGUAACUGGUCUGAGGGGAUGAUCAGGCACACUGGAACUGAGACACGGUCCAGACUCCUACGGGAGGCAGCAGUGGGGAAUAUUGGACAAUGGGCGAAAGCCUGAUCCAGCCAUGCCGCGCGUGUGAAGAAGGUCUUCGGAUUGUAAAGCACUUUAAGUUGGGAGGAAGGGUUGUAGAUUAAUACUCUGCAAUUUUGACGUUACCGACAGAAUAAGCACCGGCUAACUCUGUGCCAGCAGCCGCCGUAA
rnacentral:rRNA from 1 species